rnacentral:rRNA from 1 species
CCUACGGGGGGCAGCAGUGGGGAAUAUUGGACAAUGGGCGAAAGCCUGAUCCAGCCAUGCCGCGUGUGUGAAGAAGGCCUUCGGGUUGUAAAGCACUUUCAGUGGGGAAGAAAGCCUUGGGGCUAAUACCCUCGAGGAAGGACAUCACCCACAGAAGAAGCACCGGCUAACUCCGUGCCAGCAGCCGCGGUAAUACGGAGGGUGCGAGCGUUAAUCGGAAUUACUGGGCGUAAAGCGCGCGUAGGCGGUCUGAUAAGCCGGUUGUGAAAGCCCCGGGCUCAACCUGGGAACGGCAUCCGGAACUGUCAGGCUAGAGUGCAGGAGAGGAAGGUAGAAUUCCCGGUGUAGCGGUGAAAUGCGUAGAGAUCGGGAGGAAUACCAGUGGUGAAGGCGGCCUUCUGGACUGACACUGACGCUGAGGUGCGAAAGCGUGGGUAGCAAACAGGAUUAGAUACCCCUGUAGUC